GAUGAACGCUAGCGGCAGGCUUAACAUAUGCAAGUCGAGGGGUAGAGGCUUUCGGGCCUUGAGACCGGCGCACGGGUGCGUAACGCGUAUGCAAUCUGCCUUGUACUGGGGGAUAGCCCAGAGAAAUUUGGAUUAAUACCCCAUAGUAUUUUCGGUUGGCAUCAACUGAUUAUUAAAGUUUUUCGGUACAAGAUGAGCAUGCGUCCCAUUAGCUAGUCGGUAUGGUAACGGCAUACCAAGGCUACGAUGGGUAGGGGUCCUGAGAGGGACAUUCCCCACACUGGUACUGAGACACGGACCAGACUCCUACGGGAGGCAGCAGUGAGGAAUAUUGGUCAAUGGUCGCAAGACUGAACCAGCCAUGCCGCGUGCAGGAUGAAGCAUCUAUGGUGUGUAAACUGCUUUUGUACGGGAAGAAACACUCCUGCGUGUAGGGGCUUGACGGUACCGUAAGAAUAAGGAUCGGCUAACUCCGUGCCAGCCGCCGCCGUAAUAC
rnacentral:rRNA from 1 species